rnacentral:rRNA from 1 species
GGAGCACGUGAAAUUCCGUGUGAAUCAGCGAGGACCACCUCGUAAGGCUAAAUAUUCCUGAAUGACCGAUAGUGAAAUAGUACCGUGAGGGAAAGGUGAAAAGAACCCCGGGAGGGGAGUGAAAAGAACAUGAAACCAUAAACUUACAAUCAGUAGGAGGACGACUAAAACGUCUAACUUCGUGCCUGUUGAAGAAUGAGCCGGCGACUUAUAGGUAGUGGCAGGUUAAGGCAGAGAAUGCCGGAGCCAUAGUGAAAGCGAGCCUGAAUAGGGCGUUUGUCACUGGUUAUAGACCCGAACCCGGAUGAUCUAACCAUGGUCAGGUUGAAGCUUAGGUAAUACUAAGUGGAGGACCGAACCGACUGAUGUUGAAAAAUCAGCGGAUGAACUGUGGUUAGGGGUGAAAUUCCAAUCGAAUUCGGAGCUAGCUGGUUCUCCCCGAAAUGCGUUUUGGCGCA